UAAGGUAGUAGUAGUUAUGAUCUUGAAACUUAAAAAAUUUGGCGGUAUUUUAUUCUAUUCAGAGGAACCUGUUUUAUAAUCGAUAAUCCACGAUGGACCUUACUUAGUUUUGUUAUCAGUUUAUAUACCGUCGUUAUUAGAAUAUUUUAUAAGAAUUUUAAUUUUCAUAAUUUUAAAAAAGAAAGUAUAUCAGAUCAAGGUGUAGCUUAUAAUUAAGUAAAAAUGGGUUACAAUAAAUUUAUUUAAAUGAAUAUAAAUUUGAAAUAUUUAUUGAAGGUGGAUUUGAUAGUAAAAUUAUAUAGAUUAAUAAU
rnacentral:rRNA from 1 species